rnacentral:rRNA from 1 species
GAUGAACGCUGGCGGCGUGCCUAAUACAUGCAAGUCGAGCGAAUGGAUUAAGAGCUUGCUCUUAUGAAGUUAGCGGCGGACGGGUGAGUAACACGUGGGUAACCUGCCCAUAAGACUGGGAUAACUCCGGGAAACCGGGGCUAAUACCGGAUAACAUUUUGAACCGCAUGGUUCGAGAUUGAAAGGCGGCUUCGGCUGUCACUUAUGGAUGGACCCGCGUCGCAUUAGCUAGUUGGUGAGGUAACGGCUCACCAAGGCAACGAUGCGUAGCCGACCUGGGAGGGUGAUCGGCCACACUGGGACUGAGACACGGCCCAGACUCCUACGGGAGGCAGCAGUAGGGAAUCUUCCGCAAUGGACGGAAGUCUGACGGAGCAACGCCGCGUGAGUGAUGAAGGCUUUCGGGUCGUAAAACUCUGUUGUUAGGGAAGAACAAGUGCUAGUUGAAUAAGCUGGCACCUUGACGGUACCUAACCAGAAAGCCACGGCUAACUACGUGCCAGCAGCCGCGGUAA